UCUUCGCAGAAAAGGAAAAGGAGGAAUGUUCACAAAUUCAAACUUGGUCAGAAAAUGCCUGAGGAGAAGUUUGUUUUCAGGAAUUUCUUUUCCCCCUGGUUAUCGAAACGAGGAGACAGAAAAUAGCUCUCUUUCAGGAGAAAGAGUCCAUAAUAUCUAGUCAGAGGGGAGCGUGUUCUGAAACAAGUACUGCCUUCAGGAUUCUAAGAGCCAACAUGUCCGUGACGCAGACGAGGACUCACAAGGGAGUAAUUGAUCCCACUGGGGGAUCAGGAGACAAAGUAUGAGGCAGGACCGGCAUCACCCGGGAGCACAUUAGAUAAUCCCAAGCCCCACUCCAGACCUGCUGAAACAGUAACUGCGCUUUAACACGAGCACCAGGUAAUGCGUGUGCACGUGAAGUCCGAGAAGCACCAACACAGAAGCUCUCCAAUAAAUGUGAGUAAAGAGGCACAAAUCAAAUCCCUUCAUUCCCCUGCGUGCAACCUUUCCUUGGAUUUCCUUCCAGAAUA